rnacentral:rRNA from 1 species
GGUGACGAGCGGCGGACGGGUGAGUAAUGUCUGGGAAACUGCCUGAUGGAGGGGGAUAACUACUGGAAACGGUAGCUAAUACCGCAUAACGUCGCAAGACCAAAGAGGGGGACCUUCGGGCCUCUUGCCAUCAGAUGUGCCCAGAUGGGAUUAGCUAGUAGGUGGGGUAAUGGCUCACCUAGGCGACGAUCCCUAGCUGGUCUGAGAGGAUGACCAGCCACACUGGAACUGAGACACGGUCCAGACUCCUACGGGAGGCAGCAGUGGGGAAUAUUGCACAAUGGGCGCAAGCCUGAUGCAGCCAUGCCGCGUGUAUGAAGAAGGCCUUCGGGUUGUAAAGUACUUUCAGCGGGGAGGAAGGUGUUGCGGUUAAUAACCGCAGCAAUUGACGUUACCCGCAGAAGAAGCACCGGCUAACUCCGUGCCAGCAGCCGCGGUAAUACGGAGGGUGCAAGCGUUAAUCGGAAUUACUGGGCGUAAAGCGCACGCAGGCGGUCUGUCAAGUCGGAUGUGAAAUCCCCGGGCUCAACCUGGGAACUGCAUUCGAAACUGGCAGGCUAGAGUCUUGUAGAGGGGGGUAGAAUUCCAGGUGUAGCGGUGAAAUGCGUAGAGAUCUGGAGGAAUACCGGUGGCGAAGGCGGCCCCCUGGACAAAGACUGACGCUCAGGUGCGAAAGCGUGGGGAGCAAACAGGAUUAGAUACCCUGGUAGUCCACGCCGUAAACGAUGUCGACUUGGAGGUUGUGCCCUUGAGGCGUGGCUUCCGGAGCUAACGCGUUAAGUCGACCGCCUGGGGAGUACGGUCGCAAGAUUAAAACUCAAAUGAAUUGACGGGGGCCCGCACAAGCGGUGGAGCAUGUGGUUUAAUUUGACGCAACGCGAAGAACCUUUACCUUACUCUUGACAUCCAGAGAAGACUGNCNAGAGAUGCGGUUGNUGCCUUCGGGAACUCUGAGACAGGUGCUGCAUGGCUGUCGUCAGCUCGUGUUGUGAAAUGUUGGGUUAAGUCCCGCAACGAGCGCAACCCUUAUCCUUUGUUGCCAGCGGUUAGGCCGGGAACUCAAAGGAGACUGCCAGUGAUAAACUGGAGGAAGGUGGGGAUGACGUCAAGUCAUCAUGGCCCUUACGAGUAGGGCUACACACGUGCUACAAUGGCGCAUACAAAGAGAAGCGACCUCGCGAGAGCAAGCGGACCUCAUAAAGUGCGUCGUAGUCCGGAUUGGAGUCUGCAACUCGACUCCAUGAAGUCGGAAUCGCUAGUAAUCGUAGAUCAGAAUGCUACGGUGAAUACGUUCCCGGGUCUUGUACACACCGCCCGUCACACCAUGGGAGCGGGUUCUG